GUGUGCCCUCCUGGACAGCCCUGCUGGCUGAGAUGUUCCAGUGAGUCUGAAAGGGAUGUUCGGUGCUCCUGGAAGGCCUGUCAGGCUGGAGACGGGUGAGCUUGAACGGAGCUGCCCGGCCUUGCCGCGCCCUUCACCGGUUUCUCGUUUCAGGAGAGGAGCAUCACUUUGGGAACGCAGACUCCUUGACUCGCCCCCCUAUAAAAGCAUGUAGGUCCGCAGGCAUUUCUUCAGCUUAUUUUCGUCAAGAGAGUCCAUUAAAGGAAAAAGCAAAGGCUUAUGACAGUAACGAACCCGAGAAACCAUCAGAGCAUCAACGAAACGUUUAUACACUGUUAAAAGAAAGAAAGGCUGACUUCCUUGAGAAAAAUCAGGAGCACUACUCAUCUACAUCACAGAGCAAAAGUAAAUUUCGAGAUCAGUCCAGUAUAGGGAAGGAGUCACAGCCUUUGCCCAAAAGUAAGACUUCUGCUUUCACUUCUGUUUUGUGCUUGUGUUACAUUUAACCAUUUUCGUGCCUGUCCAAGUAUUAAAUUUCCUGGUAGCUGGUGUUAAACUGAGGGUCCUUGCCAGAACAGAUGGUUUGCUUGCUAGGGCGUGUGUUUUCAGCACUAAGGAAGGAAGGGUGUUGUACAAUAGGUAAUGUUGCCACCUGAAUUUAAGGUCUUCCAUCUGUAGUGUUUACAAUAUUUGCUGCAAGAUUAAAACCAUGGCAGGCCUACUGGUGUUCUUAUUUACCAGUUGUUGUGUUGCUGUCCUGGUAAAAGUUAGGAUAUAAAAAGGUAGUGUAAGGUAUACAGUUCUUUCCUGUUUCCAGGGAGGUUGAUAUAUUUUGUCACUGAUUUUACUGGGAACAGAAUCGAGCCUUAUGCUUGUAGUAUGUCACACAGCUGUUAAUUUAACUGUUCAAAUACCAAACCAAAAUAUCUGAUAUUCUCUGUGCAGUUUGCUGUGUG
rnacentral:lncRNA from 1 species